rnacentral:rRNA from 1 species
GGGGGUGGCACAGACCAGGGGGUAGCGACUGUUUACCAAAAACACAGGUGCAUGCGAAGGCGCAAGCCGCUGUAUAUGCACUGACGCCUGCCCGGUGCCGGAAGGUUAAGAGGAUCCGUCAGCCUUCGGGUGAAGCGGUGAAUUCAAGCCCCGGUAAACGGCGGUGGUAACUAUAACCAUCCUAAGGUAGCGAAAUUCCUUGUCGGGUAAGUUCCGACCUGCACGAAUGGCGUAACGACUUCCCCACUGUCUCGACCAGGAGCUCGGCGAAAUUGCAGUACGAGUAAAGAUGCUCGUUAAGCGCAGAAGGACGAAAAGACCCCGGGACCUUUACUAUACCUUGGUAUUGGCAUUCGGUGUGGAUUGUGUAGCAUAGGCGGGAGGCCGAGAGGCGCGGUCGCCAGAUCGCGCGGAGCCGUAAGGUGAAAUACCGCUCUGUUCGCAUUGGAUGUCUAACCUCGAACAGUCAUCCUGUUCAGGGACAGUGCCUGGCGGGUAGUUUAACUGGGGCGGUUGCCUCCCAAAGAGUAACGGAGGCGCUCAAAGGUUCCCUCAGCCCGGUUGGCAAUCGGGUGGCGAGUGUAAGUGCACAAGGGAGCUUGACUGCGAGACUGACGGGUCGAGCAGGGACGAAAGUCGGAACUAGUGAUCCGGUGCCGGUGUACGGACGCGGCAUCGCUCAACGGAUAAAAGGUACCCCGGGGAUAACAGGCUGAUCAUUCCCAAGAGUCCAUAUCGACGGGAUGGUUUGGCACCUCGAUGUCGGCUCGUCGCAUCCUGGGGCUGGAGCAGGUCCCAAGGGUUCGGCUGUUCGCCGAUUAAAGCGGCACGCGAGCUGGGUUCAGAACGUCGUGAGACAGUUUGGUCUCUAUCCUCUGCGCUCGUUGGAAUCCUGAGGAGGCCUGCCCAUAGUACGAGAGGACCUGGGUGGACGGACCUCUGGUAUGCCGGUUGUCGCGCCAGCGGCAUGGCCGGUUGGCUACGUUCGGGAGGGAUAACCGCUGAAAGCAUCUAAGCGGGAAGCCUGCUCCAAGAUUAGGAUUCCUUGGCACUUCGGUGCCUGUAGCCCGCAUGUGGAACACGUGUUCGAUAGGCCGGAGGUGGAAGCCCCGCGAGGGGUGGAGCCGACCGGUACUAACGGGCGAACGCGGCACACU